rnacentral:lncRNA from 1 species
CGAUCCAGCUGAUCGACGAUCACCUCCGCCGAGGGCAUCACCACUACCAUUUGCAUCACCUCCGUCGAGAGUAUGGUCCCUGCCAUUGGCAUCACCUCCGUCGAGGGCAUCACCUCCGCCGGGGCCAUCGCCGUCGCCAUCGGCAUCACCUCUGUCUAGACACCUCCCCCGUGUGUCUUCGGGGCACAGUGAUGAUUUGUAUGCCCGUUUGACUGGAUUUAUAGCGGAGGAGGUCGGCACGCUACGAUGAGAUUUGACGGAGAGGGUCGAUGAUCUGGGACGAGAGUUGAUAGGGAGGGUCGACGAUCUGGUAGGGAAGGUCGACUACCUAACAAGGAGGGUCGACGAUAUGGGAUGAGAGUUGACAGGGAGGGUUGACGAUAUAUCCCAUGAUGUUUGAACACUAUAGUCUUCCGUUGUCGACUUUAAGGAUACAGUAGCGGUGCUUAGAGGAGAUUUAGCCGGCAGACGAUGGGGGGACAGAGGGGAUGGCAGAGAUCAUGAUCGAGAGGGUGGCAGAGAUGGUGAUGGAGAGGGGGGCCACCCACAUUUUUGGCGUGAUGAGACAUUGGAGUCAUUGUGGUUGUCUAUGGAGGGGGUGGCCUCGAUGGGAGGGGCGGAGGAGGCGGCGACGAAGGGGGUGGCCUCGACGGGAGGGACGGAGGAGGAGGCCCCGAUGGGAGGGACGGAGGAGGUGGCCCUGGAGGUCGAGAGGACGCUCGGCGUGAUUGAGGGUAAGAGACAUGCUGUUGACGAGACGGAGCAGGUGGUCGGCAAGAGGUUGAGAGUGCCGUCACAGUAUGUUGUUUCUCCCUUCACGGCUGAGGCCAAGAGGAGGACGUUCAUCGAUGGGACGUACCCGAACUUAUUUAGAGAGGUGGACAAUGCCAAGUAGAAAGCGUUCGAGACAGAGUGGAGGAGAAUUAUCCCCGGGUAAGUAUUGUAUGAUUUUAAUAAAGCACUGUACGCUAACUCGUCUACGCUUAUUUUAACAUUUCUUUAUUUUUUACAGAGUUAGCCGCACGAUAGGUCAAAGGACGGUCUCAGACCCUUACAAGUGGUUCCACGAUAUCACCAGUGCGAGAUCUUGGCUUGCUGAUGAUGUAAGUGAACUAUUCAUUUCGUGUUUUUUAUGUAUAUGUGACUUUGUGUUUAUUAAAUGAAUAACUCAUACUUUUUUGGUGUUUCCUGCUGCAGCACAUCGACCUGGCCAUGGACUUGCUGCGAGAUCGAGCUCAAAGACAUCCAAAAUCAUUUGAUGUCCAUGGUCGAGUCUUAUUAAACACCGAGUUCCUACGUGCAGUUACCAUAGAGUAUCAGUCGCUCGAACUUAUGGGUAACGAGUACACGGUGCCAAAAUAUAUGCUCGAGUGGGUGAUAGGACUCUCAUCGAGUGUCGGAGAAAAAUCAUGGGAGGGUUGUACACAUAGGUACAUUCUAGCGUGCAUCAAUAAACACUAUGUUACGCUGGAGAUCGUUUUUGCUGACUCGACUAUAUAUGUGUACGACCCAAAUCAUUCAUGUUUGACACAAGGCCAGUUGGAGCAAAACCUGGAGUCCAUGGCUGUAAUUGUUCCUAUGAUGGCCAGACGAGCGGGGAUAAAUGUACAGGACAGAUUACGGAUCGUUCGGAACAUGACGACAGCGCGACAGUCCGUAAGGUAAGUGUUUGAACUUUGUUG